rnacentral:rRNA from 1 species
GACGAACGCUGGCGGCGUGCCUAAUACAUGCAAGUAGAACGCAGUUGCGAACGGGUGAGUAACGCGUAGGUAACUGCCUGGUAGCGGGGGAUGACUAUUUGAAACGAUAGCUAAUACCGCAUACUACCAGAUGGACCUGCUUUGUAUUAGCUAGUUGGUGAGGUAACGGCUCACCAAGGCAACGAUACAUAGCCGACCGGGGAGGGUGAUCGGCCCAACUGGGACUGAGAAACGGCCCAGCCUCCUACGGGAGGCAGCAGUAGGGAAUCUUCGGCAAUGGGGGGAACCCUGACCGAGCAACGCCGCGUGAGUGAAGAAGGUUUUCGGAUCGUAAAGCUCUGUUGUUAAGGAAGCGGUACUUAACCAGAAGGGGACGGCUAACUACGGGCCAGCAGCCGCGUAAUAC